CAGACGCCGUGCCUUCUCCAGCUCCUCGGCUGAGGCGAACACAUCGACGCUCUUCAGAGUGCCGUGAGACUGCGUGCUGCGCUCGUCCAUGGGCACCAAGGAUUACAGUGAGAAGAUGCAAAGAGGAGAUGAUGUUGCUCUUCCAGGAGCCCUAAUGUCCACUCCCCUUCAUCUUCAGUGACCAGUCGUCCCCUGAUGACAAUGACGCUCUUCCUUCUCCUUUAAGCGUCACCGCCGCCCUGAGGCAAAUCAGCCUGUGCUGUCCUCCCCAGCACACAGCAGUCCAGCCUGACGAAACCCGCCAGUGACAGUGGACCUCCCGACACCGCUCGACGCUGCCGAGAUCCAUCAGCAGACACGAGUUAAGCUGCUAGAUCGAUCGCCUUCGACCUGAAAGCCGCAUAGCAUGCACCUCUCCGUGAUGAGUAAUGAUGUGCGGAUCGAUACUGAAAUAUUACCUCCGAUACCAGACCUUUGUGCUCUAAAAUCGCUUCUCAAAUCAAAAUAUCAGUAUUUGGAUACUUCAUUCAUUUGAGGUAAUGUACUGUAUAUCAUUAAGUGGACAGUAGUGGUUUAAAAUAAAGGAAUAAAUUACUCUGGUUUAAAUUCUUUAUUUUAUGAGCUAUGUUAUGGUUUGAAAUACACUAUGUUUUAAAAUUUACAAGACACAUUAGGUGUAUUUGCACAAAGUAUCUGUAUCGGAUCGGUAUUGCUGAUACCAGCCUGAAAUUUACUCAGCAUCGCGUCGGAAAAGAGAUCAGUGGCACAUCACUAAUGAUGAGGGCGAGUGCAUAAAGCACAAAAUGACUGCUCCGAAGCACACGAGAUGUCCCGAGAUCAGAAGGCGACCACAAAUGAUCCCCAUCACUGUAUAAGACGCAGGGUUCAAAGGAUGAGCAUA